AGACCCGAAACCCGGUGAUCUAGCCAUGGGCAGGUUGAAGGUUGGGUAACACUAACUGGAGGACCGAACCGACUAAUGUUGAAAAAUUAGCGGAUGACCUGUGGCUGGGGGUGAAAGGCCAAUCAAACCGGGAGAUAGCUGGUUCUCCCCGAAAGCUAUUUAGGUAGCGCCUCGUGAAUUCAUCUCCGGGGGUAGAGCACUGUUUCGGCUAGGGGGCCAUCCCGGCUUACCAACCCGAUGCAAACUGCGAAUACCGGAGAAUGUUAUCACGGGAGACACACGGCGGGUGCUAACGUCCGUCGUGAAGAGGGAAACAACCCAGACCGCCAGCUAAGGUCCCAAAGUCAUGGUUAAGUGGGAAACGAUGUGGGAAGGCCCAGACAGCCAGGAUGUUGGCUUAGAAGCAGCCAUCAUUUAAAGAAAGCGUAAUAGCUCACUGGUCGAGUCGGCCUGCGCGGAAGAUGUAACGGGGCUAAACCAUGCACCGAAGCUGCGGCAGCGAACGUAUCACCCAAGACAACUUUACGGAGUUGACGAUUGACGGAGCGAAGCGACGUCAAAGC
rnacentral:rRNA from 1 species